AUUGAACGCUGGCGGCAGGCUUAACACAUGCAAGUCGAACGCAGUGGCGAACGGGUGAGUAACACGUGAGUAACCUGCCCCCUUCUUUGGGAUAACGCCCGGAAACGGGUGCUAAUACUGGAUAGUGGGGGAUGGGCUCGCGGCCUAUCAGCUUGUUGGUGGGGUGAUGGCAUACCCAGGCUUUGACGGGUAGCCGGCCUGAGAGGGUGACCGGACACAGGGGGACGGGGAUAGGGCCCAGAUUCCUACGGGGGGCAGCAGUGGGGAAUAUUGCACAAUGGGCGAAAGCCGGAUGCAGCGGCGCCGCGUGAGGGAUGACGGCGUUCGGGUUGUAAACCUCUUUCGCUCAUGGUCGGGUAGUGGGUAAAGAAGCACCGGCUAACUCCGUGCCAGCAGCCGCGGUAAUUC
rnacentral:rRNA from 1 species